UGGGGAAUAUUGGACAAUGGACCAAAAGUCUGAUCCAGCAAUUCUGUGUGCACGAUGACGUUUUUCGGAAUGUAAAGUGCUUUCAGUUGGGAAGAAAAAAAUGACGGUACCAACAGAAGAAGUGACGGCUAAAUACGUGCCAGCAGCCGCGGUAAUACGUAUGUCACAAGCGUUAUCCGGAUUUAUUGGGCGUAAAGCGCGUCUAGGUGGUUAUGUAAGUCUGAUGUGAAAAUGCAGGGCUCAACUCUGUAUUGCGUUGGAAACUGCAUGACUAGAGUACUGGAGAGGUAAGCGGAACUACAAGUGUAGAGGUGAAAUUCGUAGAUAUUUGUAGGAAUGCCGAUGGGGAAGCCAGCUUACUGGACAGAUACUGACGCUAAAGCGCGAAAGCGUGGGUAGCAAACAGG
rnacentral:rRNA from 2 species